rnacentral:rRNA from 1 species
CACGGGGGGAGCAAGCGUUGUUCGGAUUCAUUGGGCGUAAAGGGCUCGUAGGUGGCUUUGUAAGUCGGAGGUGAAAUCCCACGGCUCAACCGUGGACACGCCUUCGAAACUGUGAAGCUUGAGGCUGGGAGAGGAGAUCGGAAUUCCUGGUGUAGCGGUGAAAUGCGUAGAUAUCAGGAGGAACACCGAUGGCGAAGGCAGGUCUCUGGGCAUUAACUGACGCUGAGGAGCGAAAGCAUGGGGAGCGAACAGG